UACACUCCUACGGGAGGCAGCAGUGGGGAAUAUUGCACAAUGGGCGCAAGCCUGAUGCAGCCAUGCCGCGUGUAUGAAGAAGGCCUUCGGGUUGUAAAGUACUUUCAGCGGGGAGGAAGGCGAUAAGGUUAAUAACCUUGUCGAUUGACGUUACCCGCAGAAGAAGCACCGGCUAACUCCGUGCCAGCAGCCGCGGUAAUACGGAGGGUGCAAGCGUUAAUCGGAAUUACUGGGCGUAAAGCGCACGCAGGCGGUCUGUCAAGUCGGAUGUGAAAUCCCCGGGCUCAACCUGGGAACUGCAUUCGAAACUGGCAGGCUAGAGUCUUGUAGAGGGGGGUAGAAUUCCAGGUGUAGCGGUGAAAUGCGUAGAGAUCUGGAGGAAUACCGGUGGCGAAGGCGGCCCCCUGGACAAAGACUGACGCUCAGGUGCGAAAGCGUGGGGAGCAAACAGGAUUAGAAACCCCGGUAGUCC
rnacentral:rRNA from 1 species